AUUGAACGCUGGCGGCAGGCCUAACACAUGCAAGUCGAGCGGAUGAAGGGAGCUUGCUCCUGGAUUCAGCGGCGGACGGGUGAGUAAUGCCUAGGAAUCUGCCUGGUAGUGGGGGAUAACGUCCGGAAACGGGCGCUAAUACCGCAUACGUCCUGAGGGAGAAAGUGGGGGAUCUUCGGACCUCACGCUAUCAGAUGAGCCUAGGUCGGAUUAGCUAGUUGGUGGGGUAAAGGCCUACCAAGGCGACGAUCCGUAACUGGUCUGAGAGGAUGAUCAGUCACACUGGAACUGAGACACGGUCAAGACUCCUACGGGAGGCAGCAGUGGGGAAUAUUGGACAAUGGGCGAAAGCCUGAUCCAGCCAUGCCGCGUGUGUGAAGAAGGUCUUCGGAUUGUAAAGCACUUUAAGUUGGGAGGAAGGGCAGUAAGUUAAUACCUUGCUGUUUUGACGGUACCAACAGAAUAAGCACCGGCUAACUUCGUG
rnacentral:rRNA from 1 species